rnacentral:lncRNA from 1 species
UGGUGACCUCGAGGAGUGGGAAAGUCACACUUGCCCAGGCUUAUGCAGCUGUUAUGUGGUAGAGCCAGAACUAAAACCCACAGCCAUACAAUUUUAAAGCCUGAGAUAUUUCCGGAAUACCAUGCUGCCCCCUUUCCCAAUGAGAGCGCUUUCUCACCACGGUGUCCAUUUGCAGGGUCAGAAGUUUCUCCACUCACCCUGGUCUCCUCAGGCCCGAGGGUAUCCAACUGUGUGCUGGUGGCCUGUGCGGAGAGGGCCCAGGGACAAGCAAACCUUUGCAGACGAUGCUGGACUGUUAUACUCAAUAUAGAGAGGGGGUGCCCAUCAGAAGAGGGAGAGAGAAAGAACACGGCGGAGGGAGAAGAGACCUCCUGUUUGCAUUUGUCCAUGUUUGCAUCUGCCUUGGUCUCCAGCCUUGACUUUAGGAGACGAUACAGCAGGAUGUAAUCAAGUCCCACUUGGGGCGGCAAGUUUCCAGGGAGCCUCAUUGAAGUAUCAUCUCAGUGACUUUUUCAACUUUCAUUUAUCAUUUUCCAAAACAACAUAAGGCCUUGGCACCCAGCUCGCCUUCUCUGGAGCAUCCCGCCCCGCCUGCCUUCUGUAGAAAAACGUGAAGUAUAGCAUCUGGCAAAAUGCUUCCUGCAGAGCAGAGCACGCCCAGCUCCAGCCUGAGCCGCAGCAGAGGGGAACCGAGGCUCGGAAUGCUAGGCCAGGGCUGUCAGGAUGAAUUAUGCUGCCCUGAAGCGCCCCCUGAAUUCAGAGAGAGAUGAGGAAACCAAACUCAAGAGAGGGGAAGUAAUUUACCCUGUGUCACACAGCUGGUCCAACAGGCUCGCCUUGCUUAUCCCAACGGCCAUUUCUCCCCAUCCGUAGCACACAAAUCUUCCAGGACCUGGUGGGGGACUGGCGGGGCCGUGCAGAGUUACAGGAUGAACACCAGCCAUCAACCUGGGGCAUCCUUUUCACUUGCUGGGGAGUAAUUUAAACAUUAUUUGAUGUCAAAAAUAUCUGCAAUAAAAUAAACCCAGAUGUUGCAUAUUACGGAGUGGAAUUUUAAGAUUGCAUAAAUUUUAAAGAUGAAAUGCAAGUCUUCAAAUCCAUUUUGCACCACAGGAGGGCUCUUCGGGCUGUGCUCCAGGCCUCCCAGCUGGCACCAUUCAGGCCCCUGUGCCAUGAGGGCUACUUGGAGAGAAAAAUGUUCUUUCGUAUUGCAGUUUCUUACUGAACAGUUCAUGUCCUUCCCCUCCUAAGAGUUGGGCCUGGCACGUGGCAGGUCCCUGACUGAUGUCCUUGGCUGAAUGAUGUGUUCUCGAUGAGCUGAUUCCCCUUGUAACAUCUUCAGUUCCCUAGGGACCUUAGCUGCCAGCCCUAAAGAAAAGCAUAACAGUAGACAUCCAGUCGCUGCGUCAAGUAGGAGGGUUUACACUGUGUGAGCGGAGAGGAGAGGAUUCCACGUCCCUCAGCAACUCGACUCCGUAUAACCCAGAGUUG